UCCCAGCCUCAAAGACACAGGGACUGUGGAGCCCAGCGUGAAUAACGCUGUGGCAACCCCCACCAAGAAAUGUGAUCCGUUAAUGUUGCAAGAGAGAAUUUUCUGGAGUAUGACGUCAAUUCCCGAUUCUUCCGUAAGAAGAAUGGUUUCGUUUCUGGUUUAUGUGAACCCAGAAUGGGAAACCCAGGGUGAAGCAAUGCUCCUAGACUGGAUUUUCACUUAAAGGGUUAAACACAGUGGCCCUGCUGGUUUACACAAGACCUGGGGAAAAAAGAAGGGGACCCCCUUUGGCACAGGUCCUUGCAGACUGAAUCACAGACCGCGAGCCCCUGGAGGGCAGGAACUGACUCAAUCUCACCCUUCUGAUUUCUUCAGAGGAUAAAAUGCUUUGCACCCAGGAGAGCCUUCAUCAGUCUCUUUACUACUGUUGGUAGUGAUGAGUGCUGGAGUUUGCGAGCAUGAUUGAAUCUGGGAGAGCUUCUUAGGUUUAGUAUCUAGUGGUAAUAAACUGUCACUGUUUGUUUAAUAAGCAGAUAAUAAACCGUUAAAGAGUUUAAAA